rnacentral:misc_RNA from 1 species
UGGCACUUGUAACUCAUAUAGGUGCAAAGUUCUCAUCAAUAGAAACGAAUUAAGUUCAAAAAGCAGGUAAUUGCUAUAAAUUGUUGAAGAGUUCCCUCGACUAUCUUUCUUCUCCAUCAUCAGAUCGACUCCAGACCUUUAUUAAAUAGUAUUGCUUUAUAGUACUUAAUGAAAACAUGAUUAAAUUUACUAGUCACCCUUACGAUUUUUGAAAGUUUCCCUCGAU